UAUAACGAUGUACAUAGUAUUCCACUGCAUUAAAACAAGUCCGAUAACCGCUGCAACCUAUCCUGAUCUCAGAUGAGAAUCUGGCUGGAUAUUGAGAUGGAUGUCUCCGUCUAGGGAGGCACGAGUUGAAUAUCGACCGAGACUUCUCUGAUGGGCUCUUGUGUACACGUGUAAUUUGUGUCUUCCAAAGAUUUUAUCCAUGUUAUUCAGACUUUGCAGAUGAAAUUCUACGCUAGAUGAAUACAUUUUCAAUGCCAGUGACACAGAUGAAAUAUUGACCACGAUUUGUGAACGAGCAUAGAAAGGAAAGAGAUGAAAAGAUGAGAAAGAGGAAGGAGAAGAGCGCAUUGGCGUAGAUGACUUAAGACAUUUUUGAUUUGAUAAUAAAAUUUGAUUUGAAACUU